CCCAGCAAGGAGCCUAAUGUUCUGAAGAAUCAUACAAUUUCUACAAGACAGGCUGCCUUAGCCCUGUUAUGGGCCACACGCUGGGCCCCAUGCUGGGAGACCUAGAUAGAUCCAAAUUCCUUACCUUUGCCUUUGUGAGUGAACAAAGUAUUACGAGCUUCUCUGGGCUGGCCGGGA